rnacentral:tRNA from 1 species
GCCUUCAUAGUGUAGCGGUCAGCACGCUGGGCGCGUAUUCCAGAGGACCGUGUUCGAGUCAGGGCGAAGGCG